CCUACGGGAGGCAGCAGUGGGGAAUAUUGGACAAUGGGCGCAAGCCUGAUCCAGCCAUGCCGCGUGAGUGAUGAAGGCCUUAGGGUUGUAAAGCUCUUUUGCCAGGGAAGAUAAUGACUGUACCUGGAGAAUAAGCCCCGGCUAACUUCGUGCCAGCAGCCGCGGUAAUACGAAGGGGGCUAGCGUUGUUCGGAAUCACUGGGCGUAAAGCGCACGUAGGCGGACUUUUAAGUCAGGGGUGAAAGCCUGAGGCUCAACCUCAGAACUGCCCUUGAUACUGGGAGUCUUGAGUAUGGUAGAGGUUGGUGGAACAGCAAGUGUAGAGGUGAAAUUCGUAGAUAUUUGCUAGAACACCAGUGGCGAAGGCGGCCAACUGGACCAUAACUGACGCUGAGGUGCGAAAGCGUGGGGAGCAAACAGGAUUAGAUACCCUGGUAGUCCACGCCGUAAACGAUGGAUGCUAGCCGUUAGCCAGCUUGCUGGGUAGUGGCGCAGGUAACCCUUUAAGCAUCCCGCCUGGGGAGUACGGUCGCAAGAUUAAAACUCAAAUGAAAUUGACGG
rnacentral:rRNA from 1 species